GACGAACGCUGGCGGCGUGCUUAACACUUCCAGGCCGACCGGAAGGGCCUUCUUUUGGUGGGUGCCCGGAGUGCCAACGGGGGAGGUAAAAGGUGGGUACCUUGCCCUUGCCUUUGGGUUAACUUAGGGAACUUGGGGCUAUUACCGGUUGGAACUUCUUCCUGCAGGGUGGGGGUGGGAAAGUUUCGGGGGUGGGGGAUGGACUCGCGGCUUAUCAGCUUGUUGGUGGGGUAGUGGCUUACCAAGGCUUUGACGGGUAGCCGGCCUGAGAGGGUGACCGGCCACAUUGGGACUGAGAUACGGCCCAGACUCCUACGGGAGGCAGCAGUGGGGAAUAUUGCACAAUGGGCGGAAGCCUGAUGCAGCAACGCCGCGUGCGGGAUGACGGCCUUCGGGUUGUAAACCGCUUUCGCCUGUGACGAAGCGUGAGUGACGGUAAUGGGUAAAGAAGCACCGGCUAACUACGUG
rnacentral:rRNA from 1 species